UGGCACCCAACGUGGGGCUCGAGAAUGGGGGACUUAGUGAGGGUCGCUGUUUGUGGGCCCAAAGUAGAAAAAGGAAAAGAAAAUAGAGGACCAACCGCCAUGGGAGCCUGCCAUGCCGCUGAACCUCGGUAAGUGAACAGUGACUAUGGGACAAGAAAUUAGCCAGCGUGAGACUUUUGUUUAAAGUUUAGAAAAGCUUUGAAUACGCAAAGGGUAAAGAGAAAAAAAUUUAGCAGUUGUGUCCACUAGGACAA
rfam:Cavia porcellus supercont2_30 genomic scaffold, whole genome shotgun sequence.